rnacentral:rRNA from 1 species
CCUACGGGCGGCAGCAGUCGAGAAUCAUUCACAAUGGGGGAAACCCUGAUGGUGCGACGCCGCGUGGGGGAAUGAAGGUCUUCGGAUUGUAAACCCCUGUCAUGUGGGAGCAAAUUAAAAAGAUAGUACCACAAGAGGAAGAGACGGCUAACUCUGUGCCAGCAGCCGCGGUAAUACAGAGGUCUCAAGCGUUGUUCGGAAUCACUGGGCGUAAAGCGUGCGUAGGCUGUUUCGUAAGUCGUGUGUGAAAGGCGAGGGCUCAACCCGCGGACGGAACAUGAUACUGCGAGACUAGAGUAAUGGAGGGGGAACCGGAAUUCUCGGUGUAGCAGUGAAAUGCGUAGAUAUCGAGAGGAACACUCGUGGCGAAGGCGGGUUCCUGGACAUUAACUGACGCUGAGGCACGAAGGCCAGGGGAGCGAAAGGGAUUAGAUACCCGAGUAGUC